rfam:Ictidomys tridecemlineatus contig023770, whole genome shotgun sequence.
GGGGUUGUGGCUCAGAGGUAGAGCACUUGCCUAGCAUGCAUGAGGCACUGGGUUCAAUCCUCAGCACCA